rnacentral:rRNA from 1 species
UACGUAGGGUGCGAGCGUUAAUCGGAAUUACUGGGCGUAAAGCGUGCGCAGGCGGUUUUGUAAGCCAGAUGUGAAAUCCCCGGGCUUAACCUGGGAAUGGCAUUUGGGACUGCAAGGCUGGAGUGCGGCAGAGGAGACUGGAAUUCCUGGUGUAGCAGUGAAAUGCGUAGAUAUCAGGAGGAAUACCGAUGGCGAAGGCAGGUCUCUGGGCUGACACUGACGCUCAUGCACGAAGGUCAGGGGAGCAAACGGG